rnacentral:rRNA from 1 species
CCAGCAGCCGCGGUAAUACGAAGGGUGCAAGCGUUACUCGGAAUUUCUGGGCGUAAAGCGUGCGUAGGUGGUUGUUUAAGUCUGUUGUGAAAGCCCUGGGCUCAACCUGGGAACUGCAGUGGAAACUGGAUGACUAGAGUGUGGUAGAGGGUAGCGGAAUUCCCGGUGUAGCAGUGAAAUGCGUAGAGAUCGGGAGGAACAUCCAUGGCGAAGGCAGCUACCUGGACCAACACUGACACUGAGGCACGAAAGCGUGGGGAGCAAACAGGAUUAGAUACCCUGGUAGUCCACGCCCUAAACGAUGCGAACUGGAUGUUGGGUGCACUUUGGCACGCAGUAUCGAAGCUAACGCGUAAGUCGCCGC